AGAAAUUACAAAAGCGAACCAAGAACUUGGAAUCGCAAACAAAAAGAUUUCCUUUUUCUUCUAUUCUUUCUUUCUUUCUUUCUUUCUUUU
rnacentral:ribozyme from 1 species